GAUGUUUCUCUGCCUUUUGGCUAAGAUCAAGGGUAAUAUCUGUUAUCAGUUUAACAUCUGAUAUGCCCUCUAUCCAAGGACAAUAUAUUAAAUGGAUUUUUGGAGCUAGGAAUUGGGAUGGGAGCUUGGUCCACUCACUCCCACCCAUUGCCCUCGUACUGCAGAACCUCCAGCAAUGGUGCAGGAAAG
ensembl:snRNA U2 U2 spliceosomal RNA